CUUCUAGCUUACGACACAAACUAUGAGUGAGAAAAGGACAAAUGAUUCGCUCUUUGCUUCAUUUUUUCCGAGGUUGUCACAACAUGAAAUGUCAUUUGGACCUAUUGGACUCAUUUUAAUUCGGCCAAAUACAUAGUAACAUACAUAAGAAGAUUUUACUUAUAUUUACCGAACUAUUUGACACGGUCGCGUGAACUUUGUUUACGAGUGUCUUGUGUUCAGAUUGUUUUAAGUGAUAAUUUAACAAUAUUUUUCCAAAUAAAUGGAAAGAAACUUUUAUUUAUAUCAAAUAAUUGAGUGUCUCGACUCUGUGACAUUAUGUCUUGUGUGGUAUGGGGCUGCAGCUCACAUUCAGGAAGAAAAGAAAAUAGCCAACAACUUCUGUCGUUUCAUCGAUAUUAAAUCCAAAAGUGUCGACUGGAUUUACAUGAAAAGUCAGUUCAAGAAGACGAGAUGAAAAAUUUAAAAGAAAAGCUGAACAAGUCACGCCUCAAGAUCAAACGACUUAAUGAAAAAAAAAAUCAAUGUGACAGGGUGUCACAAAGACAGUUUCUAAACAAAUUGACACUGUUUAGAAAUUAAUAAAUUUGUAUUUAUUGUAAAUAUAAUGUACAUAAUUAAUAACGUGUAAAAUAAAUACUUGCUAAUGAACAGA